AUUGAACGCUGGCGGCAGGCCUAACACAUGCAAGUCGAACGGUAACAGGAAGCAGCUUGCUGCUUUGCUGACGAGUGGCGGACGGGUGAGUAAUGUCUGGGAAACUGCCCGAUGGAGGGGGAUAACUACUGGAAACGGUAGCUAGUACCGCAUAACGUCGCAAGACCAAAGAGGGGGACCUUAGGGCCUCUUGCCAUCGGAUGUGCCCAGAUGGGAUUAGCUAGUAGGUGGGGUAACGGCUCACCUAGGCGACGAUCCCUAGCUGGUCUGAGAGGAUGACCAGCCACACUGGAACUGAGACACGGUCCAGACUCCUACGGGAGGCAGCAGUGGGGAAUAUUGCACAAAGGGCGCAAGCCUGAUGCAGCCAUGCCGCGUGUAUGAAGAAGGCCUUCGGGUUGUAAAGUACUUUCAGCGGGGAGGAAGGGAGUAAAGUUAAUACCUUUGCUCAUUGACGUUACCCGCAGAAGAAGCACCGGCUAACUCCGUG
rnacentral:rRNA from 1 species